AGGACGAACGCUGGCGGCGUGCUUAACACAUGCAAGUCGAGCGGAAAGGCCCUUCGGGGUACUCGAGCGGCGAACGGGUGAGUAACACGUGAGUAACCUGCCCUUGGCUCUGGGAUAGCUCCGGGAAACCGGAAUUAAUACCGGAUAUGACUUCGGCCGACAUCGGCUGCGGUGGAAAGAUUUAUCGGCCAGGGAUGGGCUCGCGGCCUAUCAGCUUGUUGGUGGGGUAACGGCCUACCAAGGCGACGACGGGUAGCCGGCCUGAGAGGGCGACCGGCCACACUGGGACUGAGACACGGCCCAGAUUCCUACGGGAGGCAGCAGUGGGGAAUAUUGCGCAAUGGGCGAAAGCCUGACGCAGCGACGCCGCGUGGGGGAUGAAGGCCUUCGGGUUGUAAACCCCUUUCGGCAGGGACGAAGCGAAAGUGACGGUACCUGCAGAAGAAGCGCCGGCUAACUACGUGCCAGCAGCCGC
rnacentral:rRNA from 1 species